GCCCGGGUGGCGAAACUGGUAGACGCAAGGGACUUAAAAUCCCUCGGUGGCAACACCGUACCGGUUCGAUUCCGGUCCCGGGCACCA
rnacentral:tRNA from 2 species